AUUGAGUGAAAUCAAAGCGCAUUUAAUCCCUUACGGUGCUCAGGCAUCUACCGAUUGACGUCACGCCCGUCUCGACUGGACGUCACGAGAGCGAGACUGCGAGAGAGCUCAGAGUUCAACGAAGGAAAUGAAUUCGGACGAUAUGUUUCCGGAAUCUAAUAAAAAUUGGACGCAAUUGAUCACGAAAAUGUGAUGCUUGGCACAAACUACACACCCAGUCGGCCAUCUUGCGUACUCAACCAGUUGGUGACCUUCAUCUAUUUCCCCCUUUAAAAUGAGCAAUCGUAUGACGGAAAAGAAUUGAAACUCAAUAGUAGAGUCGAAAACAGAAAGUUCGUUUUCAAAAAGCAGCAAUUGAUUAACACAGUGUAGAAAAAUAAAAUUAAAAGUAUACUUGAAAGAGAAGAAGCCUGAGGAUAGAUGAUAAUAAAAGCUUUGUAGA